UACGGAGGGGGCUAGCGUUGUUCGGAAUUACUGGGCGUAAAGCGCACGUAGGCGGCUUUGUAAGUUAGAGGUGAAAGCCCGGAGCUCAACUCCGGAAUUGCCUUUAAGACUGCAUCGCUAGAAUUGUGGAGAGGUAAGUGGAAUUCCGAGUGUAGAGGUGAAAUUCGUAGAUAUUCGGAAGAACACCAGUGGCGAAGGCGACUUACUGGACAGAUAUUGACGCUGAGGUGCGAAAGCGUGGGGAGCAAACAGG
rnacentral:rRNA from 1 species